rnacentral:rRNA from 1 species
AUCGAACGCUGGCGGCAUGCCUAAUACAUGCAAGUCGAACGAGUGGCGGACGGGCGAGUAAUGUCUUGGAAACUGGCUGAUGUAGCGGGCAGACUACUGGAAAAGGUGGAUAAUACCGCAUACCAUCGGAUCUGCCCAGGUGGGAUUAGCUAGUAGGUGUGGUAAAGGUGCACCAAGGCGACGAUCCCUAGCUGGGCUGAGAGGCUGACCAGCCACACUGGAACUGAGACACGGUCCAGACUCCUACGGGAGGCAGCAGUGGGGAAUAUUGCACAAUGGGCGCAAGCCUGAUGCAGCAAUGCCGCGUGUAUGAAGAAGGCCUUCGGGUUGUAAAGUACUGUCGGCGGAGAGGCGUUACCCACAGAAGAAGCAACGGCUAACUCCGUGCCAGCAGCCGCGGUAAUUC